ACUAUCGGCGAUGGACGGUUUGACAGUGCCGAUUUAUAUCGUUGCGGGGCGUAAAUUAUUGUCGAUGAUUACCGUGAGGCUGCCGAACGUGAGAGCACGAUGCGAGGACUGAAGAACAACACAACGACACCUGAUCGUGAGUGUGGCAUUGGCGCUCCGAAACGGGUUUGAGAGCAGCUGAUCGUCAGUUGUUGUCGCACCACCGCGGAGCGAGCUGAGUGAAGUUCGUCAAAGGCGGGAGGAAAUUGGAAGUGCGUAGCCGAUUCUCGACUGUUUCUUCGUCCCGCGAGUGUCUGUGUGUGUAGUCGGUAGUUCGGGGCCCACAUGACUCCCCCCCCCCCCUCAGCAGCAGCGCGUUAAACGUCGGAAAAUCAAUUUACACGUUCCUCACGGUGUUUGCUCAAGAUGUUGCGGGUUCUUCGGAAUCUUUCCGUGACAUCCGUCAGCGAACUGUCGUCGUCCGUCCUGCACGACUACCGCGAAUUAAUUGAGCGUUAGUGAAAUCUUUGAGCGAACUACGUUGCUUCACGAGACCCCGGAAAAAUCGUUUAACUAGGGAGGAAACCCAGACGCGAUGGAUAACAACUGAUCGUUCACCACGGACCACGUGAUCGAGAUUGAAACAGAAGAUCCGAAGACCAUCCACCGCGCGCUAGAUCAAAGGCAUCCAAGAUGUUGUCGUACAUGUUGCCGGGGGACGAAAAGCCGCCGCCGUCAUCGCCGAUGGAAAACCGCAAUGGAAACCUGGGCCAGAUGUCGGCGAGGAGUUACCAGAUCAAUGACCUUCAAUCCGGGGGCCCAGGGUCCCCGAAAAUGACGUUAAACGCUCGGGCCAUAAGCGCGCUUCAGUCGACGCUGGCCUCGCGGGGUGGCGGUGAUCAGAUCGAAGAACUCGACGAGGGGGACGAGGAUAUCGUCGACGAUCACGUCAAGGCCUACCGCGGUAUCAAUGGCCGGAAAGGAUCCGUCGAAAGCCCGAGACACGCGGCACUCGGCGUGGAUGCGGCCGGGAACACGACGCGGAAAUCAUCCGCUCUGCACUCGUCUGGACCCGGAAGGGCCGUCGUUAAGGAUGACAGUCUUUACAGCAUUGGAAGCGACGCCAGUACCGUUGGCAGCGAGAAGAAGCACAAGCUGUUCAACGGUGCCAAGCACACCAGUCUCAAGAGGGUCUCCUUUGGCUCUAGCAAAGGAUCGAUGGUCGAGACACUCGUCUAUGAGACACCCGUCCAAGAGGAGCCGGAAAAUAACCAUUUUCACGAGCACAAUGGACGACUACCAACACCGAACACCUACGGCUCGGCGGCUCUCCUCGUCGCCCCUGAAACCGACGAGGGCCGAGAACGAGUCAGGGUAUCACUUCUUGAACCGACGCCUUGCCCGUCGACACCGGGCGUCCUUUUGCUCGAACCGACGUCGGACAUCGACGAUCACCUUCACACGCAUCUCACAAUGGCCACCAGUCCGGUCGAACUUCUUACCACCCACACGGAGCACACAACACCCACCUAUCACACGCAAAUCAGCACCGACAGCGGCUGGGACAACCCUUUCAGGCCGGACGGCGACCUCUCGAGGGAGGCCGACGAGAUCGUCGAGCUCAUCAAAGGUGGGAAACCGAUCACUCCGACUCCUGGACAAAACGCACCGGCACUUCCCGGAGUCGAGACCACGACCCCUGUUUCGACGGCUGCUCCGGCUGCCAACGGUGACCUCGACUCGGGUGCGAACACGAUUCUGAACUCGACCGUCGCCAAUCAGCAAACCUCUCCGAGGCUCAGUCAGGGGAACGGGAAUGCUGCCCAUGUCACGCCGAAUAAGGGAUCUGCUCCGAACUCGAACAAUCAGAAUGCCGCGCACAAGAAGGUAUCUUUUUUACCAUGAUUUAUUUAAUUUUUUAUUUUCUCUCUUGAACUAACAAUAAAAUAUCCUAAUAUACGUACACUUAUACUUACAAUAUACUAUGGAGACAUCGGAAGA
rnacentral:misc_RNA from 1 species